rnacentral:rRNA from 1 species
GAUCCUGGCUCAGGAUGAACGCUGGCGGCGUGCUUAACACAUGCAAGUCGAGCGAAGCACUUAAGUUUGAUUCUUCGGAUGAAGACUUUUUGUGACUGAGCGGGCGGACGGGGUGAAGGUAACGCGUGGGUAACCUGCCUCAUACAGGGGGAUAACAGUUAGAAAUGACUGCUAAUACCGCAUAAGACCACGGUACCGCAUGGUACAGUGGUAAAAACUCCGGUGGUAUGAGAUGGACCCGCGU